rnacentral:rRNA from 1 species
AUACGGAGGAUGCAAGCGUUAUCCGGAUUUAUUGGGUUUAAAGGGUGCGUAGGCGGUUUGCUAAGCGGGAGGUGAAAUGCCGGCGCUCAACGUCGGAAGUGCCUCCCGAACUGGUGGACUGGAAUGACUCUGCCGUGGGAGGAAUGUGUAGUGUAGCGGUGAAAUGCUUAGAGAUUACACAGAACACCGAUUGCGAAGGCAUCUCACGAAGGGUUGAUUGACGCUGAGGCACGAAAGCGUGGGGAUCAAACAGGAUUAGAGACCCUGGUAGUCCACGCAGUAAACGAUGAUGGCUAACCGCUGGUUUUUUCGGAUCAGUGGCCAAGCGAAAGCGAUAAGCCAUCCACCUGGGGAGUACGACCGCAAGGUUGAAACUCAAAUGAAUUGACGGGG